GAGUAACUCUAUCUUUUUUAACAGAAAUGAACCUUAAUUUUCUUGUAACGCGGAUUUUCUUAGUUUUUCUAACAUUCAAUUGUCCUCAGAAGUAUAUUUCCUCAGUGAUUUUUUCGAAUCGGAAGAGCCAAGCAAGCAGAUAGUUUAAUUUGCACAGAGCAUCACAAUUUCAACUUUCAACGACAAAAAAGGGUUUGCUAAUCAUCCCUUGUCCUGGCCCGAAUUCCAACUUCUACAGGAUUAGUGUUUUUUUCUGGUGACGUUUCUCGGUUCUCAGCCUGGAAGCAAUUCUUGUAAGUACUGUUGCAUCGGUGUAGCUUGUGGCAGCGGAGUAAUGUUUUAACCCUUUUUGUUUGUGCUAUGUUUCUGCAGCUUUAGUCUGCGAUGAUUAUUACUCUUUUAAGUCUGUGCAGUGGGAGAAGCCUUGUAUGACGGAAAGAGUGGCAGAAAUAGCAGGAAGAACACAAGGGUCUUAGCUGGGCUCAUUGCUCUCAACAAAAAUGCUUAUAGACAACAGAUCUUCUGCAGGAGUAGCCAAAACAGGGUUUAUUCGGUCAACUUGGUGUAUUGGUAGUAUCGUACACUCAAAACCAUUAGCGAUUCCCCUCCUCUCUUUUCCCUCCCCCUCCCUGAGUAGAUAAUUAUAUUCUGGCUUCUUCCAAUGAAUUAUUUUUGUUAUUUUGUACUUUUGCAAGACAUUGAGGAUGGCUAGGCUCUUACUAUUUCUCGCACUUGCACAUGCCCAGUUUUUGCUUCUUGAAACUUGAUCAUAUUGUGACAGCUAAUAUUUUUAAACUAUAAAUUAAUUUACUCAAGUUUAUUUAACAGAGUGGCCUGUAUUUGGUGCUAAACGUUAUUUGUUCAGUCUGCUACUUUAUUUAACUUGAUGGAAUUAUGCAGGAACAGAUCAUGUUCAUCGGCUGUCAGAAACAAGUCCUAUUGUUCUGCAGGUUUAAUUACAUUAUUCUUGGUUUCCUGAAUUACCAGAUUGUUGAAAGUUAUUAUCAUUGAGAAUUAUAUAAUUGCUUCAAAUUUUAUCGUCUAAUGUUUCUUAUGGUUUUUUUUGUUUGAUAUCAAAACUUGUCACUAAGAUUCUUUAUACGGCUCAAAAGAAAACACCUAACAUCUGCCUCUGUCUGACAGAAAAACUAUUCAAAUGUUAUUCACUUUUAACUACACUGUUGCAGUGCUAUGAGUCUUGAUAAUUGAUUCAAACUAAUAAAAAAAAAAUUGGACGUUACAUAACCAACUUGUACACUCGAGUAUUCUACAAGCGCACCCUUUCUUGUAUCAUAAGCUAUUGCUAUUUGGUUAUUUAGGAUUUAACUCCUCAAGUAAUUAAGUAGAGUUUAGAGCAAGAAAGAAAAACAACCCAUUCUUGAUUUAAAUUAAAGUAUUUUGUAAUCGUAGUAUACUCACUUUCUCAAUUUACAUGCAGCAGCUAAAUCUUGUAAUUGAGAAACCUUUUUGCAUUUUGUUUUCAUUCUUGGAAAUGCACUUGAAAAGAUAUGCUGUGGGUAAUUUAUUGAAUUGAUAGCUAGAUAAGUAAAGGAUCCACUCAAAUGAUGUUAAUUAGAACUAUUUAAACCUGUGGAGGUAGCAUAAUUCAGGUGAUUGUAAAACAGGCCCCUCCCCCACGCACACCAAAAAUUAACAUGGAGAUUUUAUUUUUUCUGAAUAAGGCGUGCUAUUCGAAUUUCAUGAUGCGGUGCCAGGCUUUUCCAUUUUUUUGGUGGGGGCAGGUUAUUGCUGCUGUUGAUUCACGUUCAUACUCGGCUUGUCAAUCAAAGAAAUCUUUAGAUUUUUAUUCGUACUUGGGAUUGCUUGUGGGUGAGAGAGGAAUAAGAAACUAAAUUAAGCCUACGAGGCAAGAUAAGAAGUGUGGCUCCACUACUACUGUAGGCACCACACGAUUAAGAUUCGUUGUCUGCUCGUUGCAUUCCUAAAACUUUAACUCUAAAAAUAUUUUCUACAUUGAAAUUGGACAUAAAAGGCGUACCAUGUGAUAAACGGAGCCAAAAUAUCCGUUUCAUGAACUCGUGCUGCUUUUCAUGUUGAAAUUAUGAUUGAUGGUGGAAGUUGUUGUGGAUUCUAAAAGGAUCGUGGGCUUAUUCCCUUUGUAAACAAAGUUUAAUAUAUAUUAUUUGUUUAAUGAAGUCAACAAGGCCUAGGCCGAAAUAAUGGAAGAAAUAGGGAAAUGAAGAGACAAUUUUGGCUUUAGAAGAAGAGAGCAGGGUAACCGAUCAUUCCCCACUUCGUGGUGAAGGAUUUGAAUUGGAUGCAAUGUAUUUGGCAUUUGCCGUUAAAGAGAAAGAAAACGAAAGCGUAGAAGAGAAAAAGAGAGAGCUGGUCCCAGUGGUUUGUUUGACGGUGGCGUGUCGUAUGUAACAUCUCACAAUAUGUUACCCUAUGCCUAUCUAUCCGUGAACGGCUAUAUAUCAAAAACUUCAAUUAUUCUUCUUCACAAUGAGAGCCUCACCUGCUCGAUAAAACAAAACUUGUAAACAAGCACGAGACCUAUCUUUGAUACCUUCAUAAAUAAAGCUAACAUGUGUCGUUAUCAAGAUCUAUUCCAUCAUAGUGACCAUAUCACACUCCUUAUGCUAAGCUUGUAUAAUUUUUUCUCCUUUUGCUUAUGUUCUUCUUUAAUUCCCCCCGUCUCCGCCACUCUUCAAUCCGUGAAUAGAUUGCAUCGCGUGCAGGAUACAGAGAGCCAUUAACUCACGCACCUCAAAAUGGAUCGGAGAGUAGUUGAAUUACUCUUCCUAUUUAUAACCUCCUCUCCAUAUUGGGACAACGCUUUUACCACCAUAUCCUCCUAAUUUCAAAACCCAUUUAUCUAUAAUUACUUUUCGAUCGAUUCCGGGAACAAAACAAGCCAAACCAAGUUUCUACACCAAUUGUUCGUUCCCGUUUAAAAACCUUAACCUAACAAUCUUCACUGCUGUACAUCUGUGAAAUCAAUGCACAUUCCUUCAACUAGAACAAACAAAAAUACAAGACAAAACGAGGAGUCAGAAUCAGAAUAUUAAAAAGAAGACAGAAGUCUAUUUGCCUAUUUCUUUUUU